rnacentral:tRNA from 1 species
UGGCCUCAGUUGGUAGAGCAUGGUGUUUGCAACGCCAGGGUUGUGGGUUCGAUUCCCAC